AUGCGGGAUCCCGAGCGCCUCGACCCGCUGCCUGCUUGCCGGAGCAGCAACAGCAGCCCCAUGCACUGCCCGGGCCUCCCAUGCAUCCUCCUCACCAUUGAACCGGCCUCCUCUCCAUCUCCUCUGCGCCCAUGGGCCUCGACGCCCUUGUUGCUGGGGCUGCUAGAUCACCACGGCGCCAUCAGGAAGACUCUGGCCACCACCGAGAACCCCCGAACCUGUCAAGACGUGUACACGGAGACCCAAGUCAGGAGACUACUGAUGGCCCUCCAAGUUCAACAAUCAUCGACAUCGGAGUACCACUACUUCAACAGGUGUACAACUACGCGGUUUCGUUGA
rnacentral:rRNA from 1 species